rnacentral:hammerhead_ribozyme from 1 species
AGUUAGCUGACGAGUCCCAAAUAGGACGAAAAGCAUUAUCUAUAAU